rnacentral:rRNA from 1 species
GAUGAACGCUGGCGGCGUGCCUAAUACAUGCAAGUCGAGCGAAUGGAUUGAGAGCUUGCUCUUAUGAAGUUAGCGGCGGACGGGUGAGUAACACGUGGGUAACCUGCCCAUAAGACUGGGAUAACUCCGGGAAACCGGGGCUAAUACCGGAUAACAUUUUGAACCGCAUGGUUCGAAAUUGAAAGGCGGCUUCGGCUGUCACUUAUGGAUGGACCCGCGUCGCAUUAGCUAGUUGGUGAGGUAACGGCUCACCAAGGCAACGAUGCGUAGCCGACCUAGGAGGUUGAUCGGCCACACUGGGACUAAGACACGGCCCAGACUCCUACGGGAGGCAGCAGUAGUGAAUCUUCCGCAAUGGACGAAAGUCUGACGGAGCAACGCCGCGUGAGUGAUGAAGGCUUUCGGGUCGUAAAACUCUGUUGUUAGGGAAGAACAAGUGCUAGUUGAAUAAGCUGGCACCUUGACGGUACCUAACCAGAAAGCCACGGCUAACUACGUGCCAGCCGCCGCCGUAA